CCUACGGGUGGCUGCAGUGGGGAAUAUUGGGCAAUGGGCGCAAGCCUGACCCAGCCACGCCGCGUGAAGGAAGAAGGCUCUCGGGUUUUUAACUUCCUUUUUCAGGGACGAAGCACGUGACGGUACCUGCCGACUAAGCUACGGCUAACUACGUGCCAGCAGCCGCGGUAAUACGUAGGUGGCAAGCGUUAUCCGGAUUUACUGGGUGUAAAGGGCGUGUAGGCGGGACUGCAAGUCAGAUGUGAAAACCAUGGGCUCAACCUGGAGCCUGCAUUUGAUACUGUAGUUCUUGAGUACUGGAGAGGCAGACGGAAUGCCUGGUGUAGCGGGGAAAUGCGUAGAUAUUAGGAGGAACACCAGUGGCGAAGGCAGUCUACUGGACAGCAACUGACGCUGAGGCGCGAAAGCGUGGGGAGCAAACAGGAUUAGAUACCCGAGUAGUC
rnacentral:rRNA from 1 species